CCUUCCUCUCAUUUAUCGAGAAAUUAAAAGUGCAACAUGGAGUUAAACUUUUUGGCAAGAUGCUGUGAAGUUUUCCAUGACAGCUGCGAAAAUUUCACUCCAUGUUACCGGCUCACAUCUCUCUUUUCAAUUUCUCGAUUGAAUUACCCCCUGUUCAAGAUAUUUGCAAGAGAAAUCCCAAUUCGGCAUCGUAUCUAGCAUCGUAUUCAUUCGAAAAAUCCAGCAAAUGCCACCUGUCAUUUUUGACACUUCGCACAGAAACGAAACAAAAACACUGCGCUGUCGAAUCUUCUGAAAAAUUUUCACGAUCCUUUGCCAUUCGGAUGUUCCGUGUGCUAUAGAUUAACUGCCUGUUUGUACGGAUAAAAUCGUCGGAGGUGCAGCAAUAACAAUGUUCGGUGUGUUCCGAAAUGGCGUCCACUUCCUGAACCGGACGACGCCCAUGAAGCCGAUCUUGAGUUGCGAGUGCUCAGUCUGCUGCCGAUCAGUUCGUGCCACAUUUCCGACGAAACGCUGCGCGGUUCGAAGCUGUGCAGUUUGGCAUGGGUAUUGCACCGGCUGUAAUUUCCAUUUAAAUGUUUAAAGCACUAGUGUAAACUUGUGAACGCAUUAACUUUGAAUAAAAUUGAAACUGGAAAUGGGUAUCACGACAUUUAAUUCCCAUAAGAAUCAAGAGGUCCCCAUGUUCGGAUUUGACUCGCUACAGCAGAUUUUAGUGUAUGUUCAAACAUAUGAUUACUUACCAGACUACGAAACGUUAAAUGAAUACCUAAUAAAUGAUGUUUAAGUGCUUAUAACUUUU